rnacentral:rRNA from 1 species
AGGGGAUCGCAAGACCUUGCGCGAUUAGAGUGGCCGAUGCCUGAUUAGCUUGUUGGUGAGGUAAUGGCUCACCAAGGCGACGAUCAGUAGCGGGUCUGAGAGGAUGAUCCGCCACACUGGAACUGAGACACGGUCCAGACUCCUACGGGAGGCAGCAGUGGGGAAUUUUGGACAAUGGGGGCAACCCUGAUCCAGCCAUUCCGCGUGAGUGAAGAAGGCCUUCGGGUUGUAAAGCUCUUUCAGCGGGAACGAAACGGUAGUCUCUAAUAUAGGCUGCUAAUGACGGUACCCGCAGAAGAAGCACCGGCUAACUACGUGCCAGCAGCCGCGGUAAUACGUAGGGUGCGAGCGUUAAUCGGAAUUACUGGGCGUAAAGCGUGCGCAGGCGGCUUUUUAAGCCAGACGUGAAAUCCCCGGGCUUAACCUGGGAAUGGCGUUUGAAACUACA